AUUGAACGCUGGCGGCAUGCCUUACACAUGCAAGUCGAACGGCAGCACGGGUGCUUGCACCUGGUGGCGAGUGGCGAACGGGUGAGUAAUACAUCGGAACAUGUUCUGUAGUGGGGGAUAGCCCGGCGAAAGCCGGAUUAAUACCGCAUACGAUCUACGUAUGAAAGCGGGGGACCUUCUGGCCUCGCGCCAUAGGGUUGGCCGAUGGCUGAUUAGCUAGUUGGUGGGGUAAAGGCCUACCAAGGCGACGAUCAGUAGCUGGUCUGAGAGGACGACCAGCCACACUGGGACUGAGACACGGCCCAGACUCCUACGGGAGGCAGCAGUGGGGAAUUUUGGGCAAUGGGCGAAAGCCUGAUCCAGCAAUGCCGCGUGUGUGAAGAAGGCCUUCGGGUUGUAAAGCACUUUUGUCCGGAAAGAAAUCCUUGGCCCUAAUACGGUCGGGGGAUGACGGUACCGGAAGAAUAAGCACCGGCUAACUACGUG
rnacentral:rRNA from 1 species